GUAAUCCGACAGGGGAGCGCACAGCGCUGAGAGUGCGGGUAAAUCCGCAGACCCUCGCACCUGAUCUGGGUAAUGCCAGCGCAGGAAGUUCGGUCUUCUCCAGCC
rnacentral:ncRNA from 1 species